GACGAACGCUGGCGGCGUGCUUAACACAUGCAAGUCGAACGAGACCCCAUCUUCGGGUGGGUGUUCUAGUGGCGAACGGGUGAGUAACACGUGGGCAACCUGCCCCUGGCUCUGGGAUAACUCCAAGAAAUUGGGGCUAAUACCGGAUAUUCACUGCUGGCCGCAUGGUUGGUGGUGGAAAGAUUUAUCGGCUGGGGAUGGGCCCGCGGCCUAUCAGCUUGUUGGUGGGGUAGUGGCCACCAAGGCGACGACGGGUAGCCGGCCUGAGAGGGCGACCGGCCACACUGGGACUGAGACACGGCCCAGACUCCUACGGGAGGCAGCAGUGGGGAAUAUUGGACAAUGGGCGCAAGCCUGAUCCAGCAAUGCCGCGUGGAUGAAGAAGGUUUUCGGAUUGUAAAGUCCUUUC
rnacentral:rRNA from 1 species